AGAAGUUUAACUUGUUUGUCUACGUCGCACUAUCGAUGUGAUGUGAUUUUUUUAUCGUCGAUAGAAACUUUUGUUUAUAAAUAAAGUGUUUAGAAUAAGUGCUUGCUAGAAAAAAAAAUGAUCUCACAAUAACAACAUUUCGCGAAUAAAUAAUAUCGGUAAUUGGUAUGAAAACAGCGUCUACACUGGCUUUAUGUUUACAUUGAUAUUCCUUUUAAAUUAAUUUUAUGUUUUAAAAACGAUUAUAAGGCACUUUUUACCAACAUUUUGAGGAGAAUAUUCCAAGCAAAAUUCGACUAAACCUACGCAGCGAAAAACCAAACAGCUACAUAUUUUUUAUCGCUUCCAACAUUCACAAUUCGAACUUGGUCGCGAGUGGACUUCCUAAUAACAAACUCUAAAAAUAAUCAUAUUCCAUUCGUCGGAUUUCUCGUUAUAUACAUUUUUAACGUAGAAUAUUCAAAAAAUUAUAUAAUCCCCUAAUCUUAUCAGAGAUUAAGUAUGUAUUGAAACAUUCUAACGCGCGAACCUUUUUUUUUGUAUUAGUGAGAUAAACAUGGAAGGUAUUAUAUUUGUUCAAGUGUUGAGUUUCUGUUGAAAAGAAGUUUUUAUGGAGUCGCAGGAUUAUACUACUCGAUCAGGGAGUCUGAAAAGAUCGAGCAGUUUUAAAAAAUUGCUUAAGCUGCCCAACUGGGGAUCAUCCAAUUCAGGUAAGAUGAUCUCAUUCAAUUGCAAUUUGUAUUAAAAUUAUUCGUCUUGUUAAACUAUUCAAACUAUUGAUGUGUUUAGUUUUUUAUCAUGAAUAUUUAACCCAAUUCUGAUUAUCGAUGUAUAUAAAACCACUGUUUCCGUAUUCUCAAUGUAGAAGAUAAAAAAUAAUCCUUUUAUUAUGUCUUUAAAAUUCCUCUUCUAAAUAUUGUUAGAAAAUACAACGUUUUAAAUCACGAAAACCAAUAAAUUCCACAUUUCAAACAUUAAUAAAAAAAAUAUAUGUAUAAAAUUUUAAUGUUCUAGCGAGGAAAAGAACUAGAUAAGUGUAGCAGAUCAAACAAACUAUGAAUAAGAGUUAAUCCAAAAUAAAUCAUCCAUAGGAUAUCUCAAUUUUCAUUUCCAUUUUCUUCAUAUUUUCAUUUACAUAAUCUUGUUGUAUUAGUCUAUUUCUUAGUGAAAACAGUUGUUUCGACAAAGAAACACAGUGAUUAUCAAACCUAUAGAUAUGAAACGUUCUGCUCAAUGCCUAAACCAAUUUCAUAAUUUAGAAUUCAGGAAUUUGUAGUCGGGAAUCAGAGAAUUAAUUUUUUAUGAAUCUUCUCUAUGUGUAUAUAUUGUGGUUACGUUGUUAUGUACAAUGCCACUCAAGGGAUCUAUUGUGCCCUCUUUUCUUACUGUGACACCAGAGGUACUCAGUGUCUACAAUCCUUUGAGAAAGUUCAGAAUAUCUUUCUUUUUACCAGGAGGCGCAGUAUUAACCUAACCUAACCCAAUUAUAACAUUGGGAGACGUAAUUCGUACGUUCUCUCGAAAUAUCUAGGGGUUACUUUUAAUCCCAAACAAAAACACGUGGACACCAAAAAAAUAUGGCUACCUGGGCACUAUGGGUAUUCAGAAGAAUCAUGGGUUGUACACGGGGUCUUUCACCUCCAAUGGAUAUAUCUUCAAUUUUCAAACCUUUUCUCAUGUACAGAAAUAUCGUGUGGGAGAGAGUUAAGUGCAACUGGACAGACUUCCGCGAUUUACAUGUUCAUGGGUACGGUCUCUACUAGGGCCAUUGGAUCUUCCAUUUUUGGAUACAAUUCGAAGCAAUCAGUAUAGCAUACAGAAUAUCCUCAACGAUUUGCAAGCUGGAGCAACAGAUCAUGCGAAAAUCUGGACGGAGACUGCAGGUAAUGUCCAAUCAUUUUGAUAGGAAGUCAUCAAAUGGCGCAUGUGAACGUUAAUAAUAAAGCACACAUAACUGACAGAGAACAGGGGGCGACUGACUUUAAGCCCAUUAACCGGAUACGGUCAUCUAAGACGCCAUCUCUACAUUAUAAAUAUCUCGAAGUAUCUGGGAUGCCACGGAUGUAUGGAUGAGGAGGAAAUCACUGCUCACAUACAUAAUCAGUGAGUGCGUAGUACUCACACGUAUAAGGUUCAAACACCUAGGCAAGCCACACAGUUUGCCUAGUGACGUCAAAAGCCAAAGAGCCUGAAUAGCUUCUCAAAAUAUAUUGACCUUUCGUAGUGAGACAAGACCGGCCUAUCAAAAGGCGCAACUAUCCCUGACCGCCCAAAAUCCAAUUUUGAAUAUGAGUGAGAUUGAGCCCCAAAAUAUUUGUACCUACUCUCGUCUAUUGUGUGAAUUUUUUGAAACUUCAAUAUCUCCAACUAUGGCGUGAAUAAAUGAGCAACAACAGCGACUAUCGCUCAUCCCACUGCUCUUUGGUAAAGUGGAACGUGAAUCCAUUGAGUAAGUUUAUAUUGCAUUACAACAUCUUAAAAGUACUUUGUGAAACUAAGAGGGAUUACGAAUAGUUUUUGUAAUAUGUUUAAUAAAUUAUCUUAUUAUGUACAAACAAUAUAACAACGUUUAUAAAUUGUUUUUCUUUUGAGGAUGCUUAUACCAGGCAUAUUUUUUAAGUAAGUACCGUUUUGCGAUUCCGCCGCCGCAACCCCAAGGUCGGCGUUCCGCACAUGCGCCCUGGUUACCUACAUCUCUUGUCUACGCACUGACACCUUUACAGUCUGAUUCUUCAUUGUGUACGUUGUUUACUGAGUGUUAAAGAUGCCUCCGACAAUCGUGAGUCCCGCCGAUUGUGAAUUACGGGCUGUUAUACGAUUUCUUAGUGCUAAAGGCGUAAAACCGAUCGAUAUUCAUUAUCACCCAAAAAAGUGAAGUUUAAGCAAAUAAUUUCUGCCCGGAAAAUCAUGUGCACAGUUUUUUGGGACAGAAAAGGAGUAUUGCUAGUGGAGUUUCGGCCUCGUAAUGAGACAAUCUAUGCUGCGUCUUAUUGUGAGACAUUGAACAAUCUGCGUCGUGCAAUCCAGAACAAAAGACGUGGCAAAUUGAGUAAGGGUAUCGUUUUGCUGCAUGACAAUGCCCGUCCACAUGUGGCUAAUCGGACCAAAGAUCAAAUCUUUUCAAUGGGAAACUCUAGAUCAUCUUCCCUACAGCCCUGAUCUGGCGCCUACAGCGACUACCAUUUGCACUUAAAGAAACACCUGGGCGAUCAGCGUCUUCAAGACGAUAACGAAGUCAAAACAGUUGUGAUACAGUGGUUAACAAGUUAGGCGGCAGAAUUUUAUAAGGAGGGUAUUCAAAAACUGGUGCCACGCUAUGACAAGUGCCUCAAUAUUCACGGAAAUUAUGUAGAAAAGUAGAUUAAUGUACAGGCUUUCAUGUAAAAAUAAAAUUAUUGCGAUAUCUUUGCACUUAUUUUUUUAAUUCCAAAACGGUACUUGUAUAAAUGGAUAAAACAUAUUAUUGUUCAAUCAAUGUCCUACGGAUACUAUAAAAUAUUUCACUUUUUUUAUGUCAUCCAUACGCUGGAAACAGAGAAUUUUUAAUGAGAAAUAUCCGCAAUUAUAAUGAGAAACAAUUUCUGACUGUUAUUAUGAUAACUCAAGACAACCAUAAAUUGUUGCAUGUCAUAUUUAUUGGGCACGUUUUCCAUGUUCCAUUAAAACAGUUGCCGGAGUUUUCAAAACAACACGAACAAAACUUUGCACAAUUAUUAUUGCUGUCAAUAUAAAAAAAUGUAAUAUGAAUUAUUACUAUUACUUUAAUUAUGAAUACAUAAAAACAAAACAUCCGUAGAAAAAGUACUGUGAACGACUCCUUAGAAAACGACAUAUUUCUGCUUCACUUGAUUAUACUCGCGAGAAAUAUAUAAUUUUUCUCUCUACAAUACUCUAUUUUUGGGAAAAGGUCGAUUCGAAAAAACGAGGGUGUGUAAUGUCUUACUAGUGUUAACUAUGCUAAUUAACAGUUCCAUUCAAGCAAUAAUUGAGUAGUUAGAACCAGAGCAAAUAUUUUCAAUUGACAUUUUAAUCAAAUUUAAUAAGUCGAAAUAAUUUCAUCAAGUUGUUGAAGUGAGCAAAUUAUAUAGGAGUGGCAUUUAUAAAGACGAAAGGUUUUUGUAUACAUAACUUUUCUAUUUGAAGAUUCUGAAACCGCUGCAAAUGUUCUAAUUACUUCGAUUCUUGUGUUUCCGUCUGUAAUUCUAAACUUUUUUAAUUAUCUAAAAGCUUUUAAGAUCGACCAUCCAUAAUACUAAGAGCAUUCAAAAACUUCAUAUAAUUUAUUUUUAAUAUAUGCGGUUUAUUUUCCAUUUAAAUAAGAAUAUUAUACGAGGUGUGUUGUGUAUUAUUUUGGAAUAUUGUCCAAACGUAACCUUCACAGCAUAUUUUUCAUUAUCAGGAGUUUCAUGAUAAAAAAUUCAUUUUUCAGAUCUCUUCCUUCGCAUGUUAUUUCAAAAUCGCUUUAGUACCCUUCUCGAAUAGUCAGUUGUCUGUUUGAAUUAACAAAUUUGUUUACUUUUCACAUUUUUCUUUAUUUUGAGCUCGUAGAAUUCCCGAUUUCACAGUUACUAUCAAAUAAAUACAUACAUCGCCAAAAUUUUUGGACCAUCUUAUGUUUUGUCACAAUGAGACCUAUUACUAGAAUCAAAUUUGGUGAUGUAUCCUAUGCGAAUUGCCUGAAUUAAAUUUUAACUGAACAAGAAAAAAAUACAAACGAAAAAUAAUGCAUAAUAAAAUGAUUACUAAAAUUUGGAAUUUAGAUGAAAGCCAUCGAGAACUCAAAUUAGAGAUGCAAUAAUAUUUAGUGUGCUCUUUCCAGUUCUGUAGUUGAGACUUGAAAUUGUUCCAUUCUUUUUGGGCCGCGAGUAAGAGUUCCUGCAGAGUCAUAGGAGUCAUUAUUCUUGUUUGAGAUUGUUUGUUCCACAAAAUUCCAGAGAUCCAUGUUUGCCAAAUUUCCCGGCCACGGAAAUCUUUGAAUAUUAUGAAUCAAACAAAUUCUUUCUCACCGACUACCACUAACCAAAGCAAAUCUGGUUUCGUCGUUUCGUCGAAAAAAAAGGACAUUUCGCUACAAACCUAAGAGCCAGUAUUUAUGUGCUUGUUUCCACUGUAGACGAGCGAAAAUAUGUCGGGGAAGUAACUUGAAUCCUAUUGUCUUCUAGACCGUAAAUUGGUUCCAGCAAGUCACAUCACUUAGAAUUGGGAUUGCUGUAAUACUUCGAUUCCGAUGUACAUAACCUGUUUCAUACCGAUCUUUUCUUGCACUAACUACCCUAGGACGCCCAAUUCCACGACUCCAUUCAACGUUGGUACUAAUACACUAUUCGGAUAACUUGAGCACGUGUAAUCCCUUGUCUAUCCGCGAUUCGAUGAUUCGACAGAUAUUCCUCAUGCGAGACCACUAUUCUUGCUGUAUUAACCACUGAAAUUCUAUUGCAAAGAAAUACUCAACAAUCACUGCAUUGUAUAUUCAUAUACUCCUGGUAUGUAAUUAUAAAAAAUUGAUGAUCACAGUAUGUUUAUUUACAAUCCACAGAAGUGGAGUUAACCAUUUAUAAUGAAUAAUUCUAUACGUUGCUGUAUUAUUACAAGAAGUUACCGGAUCGAAUCAAAAUGUUUGUUUUUAUAAGUGUGAAUGAUGAAAAUUCUGUUUAUUAUUCUAAUAUAAAUAGAAAACCUGAUUAACAACUGUUUGACUAAACUGUUACAACACUUUUCUCAAAGUAAGGGAUAAUACUUGAAAUUAAAUUAUAGUAUAAUUAAGGAAAAAGUUUAGAUAUUAGGGAAAAAUAGUUAUAGGUGUUUUUCAAUAACAUCACAUUUAGGACUAGUAGGCCAACUACGUAAGUCUUAUAAAAUCGAGAUGCAACCGUCAAGAUAUUAAAAAACAUGAUUUAAACUUAGUUAAACUAAAAGCUGUAAAUUGAAUAAUAGUUUAAAAAAACUGAAAAACCCCCUUUUAGCCAAUAAUCAAACUAAAAAGAAUAGAAUUAAUUUUACAAUUAGAAAAACAACAUUUUUAAACUAACUUUGUGCUUCGGAAUGAAGCUAGCUAUAAUGAGAAAAGUUAGGUUCCGAAAAGUAAAAGAGAAAAUAGAAAAGUUAAAACGAGUGACAGCGAGCCCUAAAUUUCGAUAUCUCCAUUUUGAAUGAAUUAGGUGAAUGUGCAAAUGCAGGUAACGGAAAAAUAAUUCGGGCGACUGAGAAUGGGAAUCGAACCCAAAUCCAUUGGUUACCCGCUAGGAGCUUCACCAUUUAGCUCCUAGAGAAACGUACUGUAUUUAUACUUCAAUCUUAUACACAAGAGACCCACCGAGAAUCACUACCGUCUAUUUUAUCGUAAAUAGUCAUUUUGAGAUUAUUAAUAAAAUGGAAAAUGGGGAAAGAAAGUAAUUAUCAAAAGGAAAUCCUACCGAGUGAAUAACUUUCAGUAAUUGCAGCCCCCAGAUUGUCAACAAACUCAUAUCUAUUAGUUAUAUAAUACAAAUUUAGUUUAAAAAUGUCAUAGAAAACACCCCACGCUUUAUAAUAAUGACAAUACUUUUCUUAUCAGUAAUUUUAUUUCUUUUCCAAGAAUUAUUUUUCCUUUUUUAGUUUGAUUAUUGCUAAAAGUUUUUUAAACUGAUAUAUUUUACGAAAACCAAUAAUCCCCAUUUUCCUAGAGGAGUUUGACAGAAAAAUAUCCUUUGAGAGGUUUUAGUUUUUAAUGUAAUUUGCCAAAAUUUUACAUAAAUCUGACGAACAUAUUAGUUCUUAUUUCAUAUGAAAAAUUAUUCUUGUUGUAAAUAUUAUUUUUUACGUGGAAAAACUAAGAAGCCGGAGUAAUACUACUUAAAUGCUAUCCUAAAGGUGUUGUUGUUUGGGAAUUGUACGAAUUUUAAAAAGGAAUACAUUCAAAAAUAGCGCCUCGUUAAGACCAAAGUGAAUCCAGUUAAAUGAAUUUCAUCACUUACAUAAACAUUUCCAGUGUCUUACGUUCCCUAUGGCAGAAGAGUAACCACACAGUACUAUAAGGACCUUAUGCAAUAGGUACGACCUUGUAAACAGUGUAAUAAUCCUGCACAACAAUGCAUUACCACAUUAAGCAUAAUGUGUAGGGCAGCUAUUUUAACUUUGAGGAUGAAAAAAAUAGAAGUACCCACCACAUUAUCCUAAAAUUUCCUUCUCUUACAUUGACCUCAUUAACCUGAUUAAGGCGGCUGUUUAUGUGUACUGAUUCACACAUGGUGCGUCAAAUUCUGAAGCUGAUGGUAUUCAGUACUUCCCACAUCGUUGGCAACGUGUGGUGACAGUAUUAGGGCACCACUUUGGGGGUCUUUAGGCCCAGGAUUGUCAAUUUUUAUGUGUACUGCGUUGUCAUUCUUUCGCAUCGUGAAGGUGUAAUUCAAAAUUUAAGUCAUUUUACCGUGUAAUUUGGCCAUUACUUGCAUCGACAUUCUGUAGUAUCCUUAAUUAUUCUGUUCUGAAUAACGAGAGUUUUCUAAGGCAAUUGGUUAGAACAGUAGGGCACAAAACACAAAAAAAGAGAAAUAGACGGUAGUUGAUAGAUACAACAAAAAUUUAAAUAGAAUCUCAAAAAAUGUGAGAGCUGGGGCAAAAAUCAUGGCAAGUAUUUCGUUUCUUGUAAAUACAGAUAAUUUCUUAAAAAUGAUGUAACAUCCGAUUUCAACUGAUAGACGACAUAUAUAAAAAAGAGAAUUCGCGGAAGGCAUUGUUUGUAUUGAAUAAAUAUGUCUCAUUGACCAAUUCUUGGAAUUUUUUUGUUAAUAAUAGAUAAUUUAUUUUUCACUAACUACUAGGAUAACAGUUUUUCAUUUGAUUAUUAGGUAUAUUAGGAAACUGAAACAAUUUCAUACAAAUAUAUUUUUCAAACCCAUUUUCCCUCCAUAUAAUUUAUAUUUAUUAUUCCUCGUAUUGUUUUAUUGCUCAUUAAAGACGCAAUGACCACUUCAUCUAAUUAUUAACAAGCUCUAAUAGUGGAUGUUGGUUGGGCGUCUAAUAUAAUAUUUUAUUCGAAAUCAAACUGAAUCUGACAGAGUCGGCGUCUCGAUGCCUGAUGUACAUCGCGUGCUUCGAACGGAAAUAGCUUAAUUGGUAUAAGUCAAAUUGUUAUGUUUCAUUUUUGUCGAUACCGAAGAUGUUAAUUGCUAUAUUUCGUAUUAACUGUUUAUAUUGUAUCGUUACGAAACAUAGACGUUCCAAAAUUAUUUAUUCGAGGAUAAAUAAUUCGAUAAUAUAAAUAAUUUUGACCAGUUCACAAUCAAAUAAUACCACACAGAAAUAAAUUUUUAGACAUUAUUUUCUUUCAACGAGUUAGUUAAGUAAAUCAAAUUCAUCUAUCACAUUAAUAGAAAAUGUAUUUAUGAUUCAAUUUUAUUUAACGGAAUCCCCUAUCUAAACUCAAAUAUCAGGUAAUAUGUGUGCAAUUACAUACAAGUUCACUGCUCAUUCUAUAUGUACAUUAUCAGUCUGCUUCGUUAUUGGCACCUCGCACAGAUCAGUACCUUCAACUUUUUGCGCUUGGACGAAAAAAAUCCGAAAAGUUUUGAUUGUUGUUUACUAGAAAUAAAUUUAAGUUCAAUAAUGAGCCGAUAAUAUUUGAAUUGAUGGCAAAAACUGACAGAAUUUUUGACAGUAUGAUAUUAAAAACUUCAUUGUAUGCUAUUAUUGUUUAUUUUGAAAUAUUUUUUUUCCGUAGUCAAAUGAAAAUCGAUUUUAUUUAGCGAAAAAGAAAGUUAUCUAGGUAAAAUUAAUCUUAAAACAUCUAUGAAUUAAGUAUCAAAUGUAAUAAGCUUAAUAUCAAAUCUCGAAAGUACGUAUUUGUGCAAAAAUAAUCAUUUUUACGUAUAGUGCUUAUUUCAAUCAAUCAUUGUUGAUAAACUAAACUUUUUCUAUCAAAAUAGAAUAUUAGGAUAAAGAUACAUCCAUUUUAGGUGAGUUGUUUAAUAAUGAGGAGGACCUCAAAAUUCAAUUUUAAAUUGUAUUGUCGAGAUUGCGAAUUCAUUCACAAAGAAACGGAUUAUUUUCUAUGUUGAAUAUAAUAAAAAUAUUCAUCCACAGUUACUAUAUUUUAAAAUCAUAAUUCAUUUUACUCGUCUUUGUCUUUAGACAAUAAAAAUUAUGAAUUUAUUUUUGUAACGUUUUUAUUAAAUACAUGUAAAUAUAUGAUGUCCUAAUUAUUCAAAAUAACGUAACAAUAAGAUUUUGGAAUUUACUUCAAAAACAAUAUCCACUUCUACAAGAUAGCUUUGACGAAAGAGUGAAUAAUCAAUGAAAACAAUGGUAUGAGAAAACAAUAUUUUUUCAUACCUUGGUCAAAAGUACGUACUUUCGUCCCUGUAUGUACUUUCCUUUCCCUUGUAAUGUAAUAUAAUAUUAAUUUCUCAACAUUAUUAACGUGUUUAAACAAGUGAGUUUCCAAUUUUUUCAAACCGUCCAUCUCUGUCACCACCUUUUCAUUUUCUGAAUUCACUUGCCGUCAAGAUAUUGUAUUAAGUUUGGAAUGAGAAAAUAAAUCGUAAUGCCAAGAUGCCAAUGCCAUAAUGUCAAGAACAAAUCGUUUUUACUGUUAGUAGUCAGUAAAUAUUAACAAAAAUCUUAAUUCAUAAAACGAAGUUUCCAUUAAAAAUGAAACAAGAAAAAUAUCAAAAAUUUCAUUUAUUUUGUCGUAAUGAUUUCUUGACAACGUUCAUAAUAAUUGAUUCAUGAAAUGAAAAAUUUUGUCAAAUGACAAAUUUAUGUUUCAAUUUAAUUAAUUUAUUACUUAUAAUUACUGAAAGGAAUUAAAUGUCAAAAACUUGAGCUCGCUACAUGCUUAUUAUGAGGAGAUAUCGCUGCUACAGACGGACGGACAAAACGCUAGUAAUAGUGCAUUCUUCAUCCUACAGGCCAGUUAUCGUUUUCUUUUAUGUUAAAUAAUCAAUAGAAACUUCACCUUUGGAAUCCCAUAACGCUGUGGCCAUGACCUGAUUAGCUGAAAAAACGGUCUUUGUUAUCUUGGUAGCACGUUCCUCGUAAGAACUCCAUUGAUUUUACUUGAGACAUAGCUACUUGGAUUACGUUUGAAGAUCCAAACAAAUUUUUAAUACAGGCGAGCUUUUUAUUAGAUUCGAGCAAACAAUUCACCCACCUUGCAGAUAACUUUUUUAUAAGAAACCCUUCAUGCAAAAUCAUCUAUUGUUUGUCGGUUGGAAUAUUAACUCUAUUACCUAUCUCAAGUACUUUUAUUUUAAAGGUCAACAAUUUUAACUAACUGAAUUGAUAGUUUUCACGUGAACAACGAAUUAUUCGUUCUCUUCUUCGGGAAAUUACUUUAGAUUGAAGUUUAUUUAUCGCCUUUAUAGCUUCCCUAGCUUGAACAAACCCUUGCUGUGGGGUUAUAAAAACGCUUCCAAUGCUUUUCUACUUAGUCACACCUCUCAUUCGUCCAUUCUUAACCAAAGCAAUACAAUAAAAUAAACACGAAAACAGUUUGGGGCAAUGUGCGCAAAAAAAUCAACAGUCAGCAAUACAAUUAAACCGGUGACAUUACAUUGGCGGGUUAUAAAGUCACUCUCUUACUGCCGUUCAUGAAAUUCUCCAUCUUUCCAAUUAUACGGCUUAUCUAUAGCAAUGGCGAAUUCUAUACUCGAAAGCAGCAGUUUCCAAAAGGGUUUUCCGUUUGAAAUAUUCGUAAUUGAGUUAAGUUUCAUUAUACUAUAUGAUUAUAAAUGAAUAUCAGAAAAGAGAAAGCGUUUCGCGUUCUACUAUUUACAAAGACCGAAUCUGUAAUUAGUGGGUAACGUGAGGGGGACCAAGAGUUAGUGAAGAGAGUUAAAUGAGUGAGAUAUUCGUUUACUCCUAACCGGAAAAAAGCUCUAAAAACUAGUCGUGAAUUAAUGAUUUUCGUGUCGACUGUUCGAAUGGUUUUAAGGAAACGCUUACGACUAAGUCCUUACUGUUUACAGUUGUUACAGUCUCUAAAGCCUAUAGACUGCGCAUUAAGUGCCGUGCCAACUUCGCUAUUGAAAUGUUGUUGCAUGACAUAGAGAUUUUAUCAGUCAUGUUGCCUUCGGUGAUAAAUCGAACUCUCACGUUAGUAAUGUGAGGAUCUGGGACUCAGAAAAUCCUCAUGAGAUGUGCAACGAGACUAAAAUUUAAGGUUGCGUAAAUUUGUUUGUUAAAACAACUAUAAAUCGAAAGGUAUCGAAAGGUGCUUAUGACGAAACUUCCUUUGUAAUACCUCCACAUUCACCAGAUCUGACGCCAUUUGAUUACUUCUUUAGAGGCUUCUUUAAGGAUCCUUUGUAUGUGCCACAGAUUACUAGCUGUCAUUUCGAAAUUAAGAAACAGGAUUGAAGCAUCUGUAUUGGAGACUUUGGGAAUGGGAAUAACUCAGGUAUAGACUUCAUGUGUGCCGUGAGACAAAUGGUGUUCACGUUAAACACUCAAAAGCGUCUAGAUGAAACUAUUUGGGUUGAGUUGCUCUUUCAGUUGCGAUAUAUUUUAUAUCAGUAUGAUUGAUGUACUAAAUAUUAGCUAGCGACAAAAACCUCGAUAUUCAUUUAUAAAAAGUCUGUAAUGUGAGUGGUUUUUCAUACCACAAAAAUUAAUAUACGAGUCCAACGAAGUGAUAGCUAUCUAGCGUGCGUCGAAAAAAUAUAAUAGUUUUUUUCUACUAGUACUAGCUUCUGCAUUCUAUUUUAUUUCCUGAGUUGUGUAAAAAAAUUACAUUCUGUCGUUUAUUAAUCGUAUAGAAAAUCGUGAUGUAUCAUUUUGAAGAAAAUUCACUGCGCUACAAAAAACUUUCUCAUGUUUUUUUCCGUUAACCUCACCAAUUACAAGAAAGUGAAGGUUAAAUUUUGAUAAUUUCGAGACAAAUUUCAUUUUUGAUACACAUUAUUUAACGUACUCAAACUAUUCUCAUUUACUAAAACUAUUAACUUGAAAUUUCGCUUUUGAUGAAAAUAAAUGAUGACAUUUAAUAACAUCACGAGAAUUAAUUAAUUUGUGUAUGAAACUGAUUGUCAUAGUUGGCAAUUUUUUGUCAUUGUAUUUUUAAUUAAAAAAAUUUGAUUUUACACAAUUAAAAAUGAUUUUUUGUAAAAUGAAUCAUUUAUAUUUUCCCAAUGAAGUUUCAAAUGUAAAAUAAUUUCGAUAGCUCAAUGGUUCUUGAAUGUGGCUCACAAUCCUAUCUCAUAAGGGACGUGAAUAAGCAGGCCAAUUUUUCUUCAAAAAUUCACUCUAAUACUUUUUUUGAGUCUUAUAUAAAUAAUAAAUAAUGAAAAUGCGAUAAAAAUAUAGAAAUUUUGUUGUUAAUCUUGGUACAAUUAGAAUUAUUUAAAUGAUGUUGAUGAGAAGGCUGAACAAGGAAACUGUCAACAUAUAGGUAGAGAAAUAUGAAGAUAAGUUGAUCAUAUAGGAACUAUUAUUUUUUUAUAAUUAGCUGAUAAAUCCGCUGUCGAAUAAAGUUGCCUUGGAUACUUACGAACAAUGUGAUAAUUUUAAAAUUAUAAAAAUAUAGUUGUGAUGUGUGAGACAAUAGUUAAAGAUUGAAUGAAUAACUUGAUCACAUAAUACUUUGGUAUCAAUGAGAAUGAGCUUAAAUUUAACUCACUUAGCUAAUUAUACUGACUAAAUGACCAACUUUCCUUUCUAUUUUUCUACCUUUAUGUUUACAAAGUACUUUUUUAACUUUGUUGUCGUCAUUAUCUAUUAUUUAAAUCUUUCUCUUAGACCAAUCAUAACAAGAUAUAUACCAAAUAUUGUAUUCGAUUUUUUUAAUGCAUUUUAAAGUUUUUUAGAAAAGUUUUUCUCACUUAAUUUUUUACUAGAGAAUUUUAUAACUCUUGAACAAAUAAGUAUAAAAUAGACAGUUCUACAAAGCUUUCCUCGAUUUAGAUAAUCAAGACAUCUCUAUGAUUUCAAUAUUAUAAUUUUAUCAUUCACUUGUCGAAUUCAUUGUAAUUCAAUUAUUUGUGAGUCCCAUGAGGUACUUUUAUUAUUUUUAUAAAUGUUGUUGGCCUCAUAUAAUUCAUUAAUUACAAAGCAAUUCAAUCGUUUAAUUUCAAUAUCAAUUCAAUUUAAGGAACAAAUUUCCAAAACUCCAAAACUCCUUAUACGAUAUAACCAAUAAUAUGAAAAAGUUCGAGAAGGAUAAAGCUUGAUAUAAAAUCAACAUAUAUAACAUUUCUAGGAAAAUCUUCUUUAAAACAGAAAACAAAAUACAUACACAACAUACAACAAAAUAUAUACCACUUUGAUUCGAAUCUAAGAAUAAACUAUAUAAAAUUGUUUCGAUUAAUAUGUUCGUCUUUUAAAAAGUUUAGGACCGCUGUAUUCAAAUAUCGAUCCGAAUGUCGGAUGUCGCUGUAUCCUUUUCAUUUUCACCUUGACGCUCUUCCUUCAUUCCAUUGUCAAUGCCAGACUGCGAUCCUUCGGCAUAGUUGCCACAUUUGAGGGAAGGGAAUACACCGGUUUUCUUUUUCUCGAGAUUGUUUUAUCCCGACCUUACGUAAUAUUGUUUUUCAACAUAAUAGGUAUGAAAUGAUCAACAUUUAUUAUGUAUUUGGUCUUUAUUUAUACUUUUUCUUAUAAAUACGGGUGCUCGUCUACUACCAGGCUCCACAUAAGUGAGAACGAAACCUGUAUAAAUAGAAAAAACCUAUUCCCCAAUACGAUCUUUUAAAUGAUUAUAAAUUACUGAAACCAGUAUAAAAAUCAAUUCUAGACUAUGUCUUACGAAUAACUUAUCUAGAAAAACCUGGAUUCUUUACAGCUCUCAACGGUGCCUAGGGUUGAUGGUAAUGUAGGGAUUUUUUAUCCCAUUUUUACAAAAUUGUGAAAAAUUUAGAAAAUUUGCUUUAAAUUAUUCUUUGAAUAGAAUAAUAAAGAAAAGCGUGACAUAAUAAACCUGUGAAUAGCAAUUUUGUUAAGUCGAACUUACCAGCAAAUUAAAUUCUCUUCAGUUUUGACACCGGCCAUAAACAGAAGUAAUUAGUUCAUCACAAUAGUUAAUUUAAAAAAUAGAAAAA